GUGCAUGACCACACCAUGGAGGAAGCAAGUCAGACAACAGAUGAGAUGUGGGACGACACUGCUUAUGACGUAGGCUCCAUGGCACACGAUGAUGCGGGUCCAUCCCAUACGUUUACCCAUAGAGACACAUUUGGGUCCCCAUCCAUGAGGAGCGAUGGUACUUGCCCACCCACAUCUCCUAAUACAUCUCCGUUGCCCACCACCCGUACGUCUCCCCCACUGACUGCCGGCCCUGCCCCCGCAGUUUUAGAUGGUAGAGAUGAGAUGAGGUUCAUGCCCAUUCCUGGGCGACCCACCCCUGUUGCUGUCCCCCCUGAGUUUGUGCAUACCGAGUUUAUCCAGACACAGAUACCCACCCCCCAGUAGAGCCUUCGCACAUCGAGGAUCGGCCACGAAGGCCGUAACGCACACGGACACAUCCUCCUGACUGUGGGACUGGACAUGGCAAGGUGAGACCAAUCAAGGAAUCGGUGAGGAGAAGAAAACGAGAAUGAUUCAAGGGCAGAAUUUGUGCUACUUUGGGUUUGUAAUGGUAUAGGAUCUUUUUGUCAUGUAUAGGAUCUUCUUGUAUAUAUUUUAUAUGAUGAGCCACUAUUAUGCAAUCCACAUGGAUUACAAGAUAUAGACUGGAAUGUUAUAGGCAUUCUUAUAUAGAUGAUUUCAUGGUUGUGGUUGAUAAGCAUUGUGCAUGCUUUAGUAAGCAUUGUGGCAACAAUCAGUUGUUAUGGGAUGUUUCUAUUAAUGGGUAUUUGCUAAUUGUAGAGAUGAAUGUGGGAUGUUUAGAAAUGCAAUACAAGGAAACUUUUUGUUGAA